rnacentral:rRNA from 1 species
AUUGAACGCUGGCGGCAUGCCUUACACAUGCAAGUCGAGCGGCAGCACGGGGGCAACCCUGGUGGCGAGUGGCGAACGGGUGAGUAAUGCAUCGGAACGUGCCCAGUAGUGGGGGAUAACCAGUCGAAAGACUGGCUAAUACCGCAUACGACCUACGGGUGAAAGCGGGGGACCGUAAGGCCUCGCGCUAUUGGAGCGGCCGAUGUCUGAUUAGCUAGUUGGCGGGGUAAGAGCCCACCAAGGCGACGAUCAGUAGCUGGUCUGAGAGGACGACCAGCCACACUGGGACGGAGACACGGCCCAGACUCCUACGGGAGGCAGCAGUGGGGAAUUUUGGACAAUGGGCGCAAGCCUGAUCCAGCCAUGCCGCGUGCGGGAAGAAGGCCUUCGGGUUGUAAACCGCUUUUGGCAGGAACGAAACGGCGCAAGCCAAUACCUUGCGCUAAUGACGGUACCUGCAGAAUAAGCACCGGCUAACUACGUGCCAGCAGCCGCCGUAAGAC